rnacentral:rRNA from 1 species
GAUUAAGCAAAGAAGAGCGCAGGGUGGAUGCCUUGGCACUAAGAGCCGAAGAAAGACGUGAUAAGCUGCGAAAAGCUGCGGGGAGAUGCAAAUAAUCCUUGAUCCGCAGAUGUCUGAAUGGGGAAACCCGGUACGAAGAACUCGUAUCAUCCA